GACCGGAAGGCAGCAGCGCAGCGCCAGCAAGGCAUGCGCGAGGA
rnacentral:SRP_RNA from 14 species